rnacentral:rRNA from 1 species
UACACUCCUACGGGAGGCAGCAGUGGGGAAUAUUGGACAAUGGGCGCAAGCCUGAUCCAGCCAUGCCGCGUGAGUGAUGAAGGCCCUAGGGUUGUAAAGCUCUUUCACCGGUGAAGAUAAUGACGGUAACCGGAGAAGAAGCCCCGGCUAACUUCGUGCCAGCAGCCGCGGUAAUACGAAGGGGGCUAGCGUUGUUCGGAUUUACUGGGCGUAAAGCGCACGUAGGCGGACUAUUAAGUCAGGGGUGAAAUCCCGGGGCUCAACCCCGGAACUGCCUUUGAUACUGGUAGUCUUGAGUUCGAGAGAGGUGAGUGGAAUUCCGAGUGUAGAGGUGAAAUUCGUAGAUAUUCGGAGGAACACCAGUGGCGAAGGCGGCUCACUGGCUCGAUACUGACGCUGAGGUGCGAAAGCGUGGGGAGCAAACAGGAUUAGAUACCCGUGUAGUCCCAUGAU